AUUUAUUCUGUUUAACUCAAGGCGCUUUAAAUUGUAAACAACAGUGUAAAACAAUAUGGACUCGAGGAGGAUAACUUAUGUAAAAUAAACGCGAUCAGUUUUCUCUCGCUCUUAACAGUGACACGGAUAUUUGUGCUGAGUGAUGAACUCGAAGAUGUUUCUUCAAUUGCUGUUUGCCCUGGGAUUUGUCGGCAGCAGUUUUGCUUGUCGCUGCCUUCCAAAGACUCAGGAUGAACGCUUCUGUGAAGGAAACUUCGCUGCAAUCAUCUACGUAGAAGGAAGAGAUGUGGUCGGCCUUGAAAGGGUGUACAACAUUGACAUAAUCGCGAUAUUGAGAGGAAACAUGCAACAAGCGGACGAGCGACAUCUGAAAGGUGCCACACAUAGUUGUGGGGUUACCUUUGAAGUUAACAAGUACUACGUUAUUUCGGG